GGUGACUCGUGUUCUCCCAACUUGGGCUUUAGGCAUGAUACGUGGAAGAUAGGGUGAAUUUUGGCAUCCUCAGGUAAUUUAAGUCUGUACGCCACGGCUCCAAUACGCUUUGUGAUCUGAUAGGGCCCAUAAAAACGUGGGGAUAGCUUCAUGGAGGCUCGAGUGUUGAUAGAGAGUUGCUUGUAUGGUUGUAGGUGAAGAUAAACCCAAUCUCC
rnacentral:lncRNA from 1 species